rnacentral:lncRNA from 1 species
UGACGAUGACGAUACUAAAGAUGAUAGUGAUGCUACUAGACCUGUUAAAUAUUAUGGUAUAGAAGAAUUAUUAGAUGAUUUACAUCAAGAUAUUUGUUCAAAUAUACACAUGAGUACUACUGCAUCUGAAAGCAAUUUUGAUCAUGAACAUAAUAUCCGACUUGAGGUAGAAAGAACUUCUGAACAGUUUGCAAAGCUUAUAAG